rnacentral:tRNA from 1 species
GCUGAGGUAGCCUAGCCUGGUAUGGGCGCCAGACUCAUAAUCUGGAAGUCGCGAGUUCGAAUCUCGCCCUCAGCA